rnacentral:rRNA from 1 species
GAAGGUGGCCUGUGAGGGUUGCUGGAGGUAUCAGAAGUGCGAAUGCUGACAUAAGUAACGAUAAAGCGGGUGAAAAGCCCGCUCGCCGGAAGACCAAGGGUUCCUGUCCAACGUUAAUCGGGGCAGGGUGAGUCGACCCCUAAGGCGAGGCCGAAAGGCGUAGUCGAUGGGAAACGGGUUAAUAUUCCCGUACUUGGUGUUACUGCGAAGGGGGGACGGAGAAGGCUAUGUUGGCCGGGCGACGGUUGUCCCGGUUUAAGCGUGUAGGCUGGUUUUCCAGGCAAAUCCGGAAAAUCAAGGCUGAGGCGUGA